AGGAGCAACAUAGAACUUACUUUCAAGGAAUGUAAUUGUGGGUAUCUACCUGUCUGGUGUCUCUCAAGGACAGGUGGAAAGGCUUUCUGUUUAUUCACUCACAGUGUUCCUGGGGGUGAUGGCUUGCCAGGUGGCUUUUGCUGAAAACAUUUAAAGGCACAAGUACUGGCCUCAGCAGCCUGACACUUGGGACAAAUAAUAGACCAAGAACCCUGGGAAGAAGAGACUGGGACAGGGAUGUGUGGGAAUAGGGCUUUUCAAAGCUGCUGCAUAUAGCUGGGAAUGGAGAAAAGCCACGUGCAAACUAAGAGUGAGACAUAUACUCAGCAAAGGCCUGAGAAGACUAAGUUUUCAUCUCUUGCUGAUUUUCAGCCUUUGUGAGAGUAGGAAGUGAAACUAAGGUAGAGUUCUAAGCAGCCAGGCUAAGUGUUCAAAGAGUUAGCUCUGACAGGGUUCCAUUUUGCAAAGAUGUAGGAGAGUAUUUUUUCUUUCCUUAGAAGUUUUUUUUGUUGUUGGCUUCAGACCUUUAUGGUAACUGUCAAGAUAGCAGCUGUUCAAUAAGCUAAAGGAACACAGAACUCACAUAAAUAGGGAAAGUCUGUAAGCAAGCAAACACCAGCAACCUACAACAGGCAGCAAUAAACCCUGAGAGAAGGGAAACUCUGACUUCCAGAGUUGCCAUAUAUUCAAAAUAGCCAGUAUUCAACAACAAAAGUCACUAGCUGUUCAAAGAAACGAUUUAAAGCCUUACACAGAGGAAAAAGAAAAUAUAGAAACGGUCCAGGAGGCAGCCCAGGUAUUGGACUUACUAGACAAAGACCUUCAACUAACUGUAUUAAAUAUGCUCAAAGACCUAAGGAAAUCAGGAGAGCAAUGUCUCAGUAUAUAGAGAAUGUCAGUAAAGAGAUAGGAAUUUAGAAAAGGCACCAAAUAGAAAUUUUGGAGCUGAAGAGUAUAAAAGCUGAGGUGAAAAAUUUAUUCACUAGAAGGGCUUAGAAUCGGAUUUAUGCAGGCAGGAGAAGGAACCCAUGAACUUAAAGACCGGUCAGUUGAGGUGAUUUAAUCCAAGAAGCAGAAGGAGAAAAGAAUGAAGAAAAAUUGUCAGAGCCUGAGAACUGUGGUACACCAUCAAGAAUAUAACCUGCAUGAAUGGGAGUCCCAGGAGGAAUAAAGACAAACAUAGAUCAAUAAAAUAGAAUGAGAGUCUAGAAAUACUAUACAUCUAUGACCAAUUUUUGACAAGGGUACUAAGAUUUAAUGGAGAAAGAAUAGUCUCUUCAACACAUUGUGCCAGGACAAGUGGGUAUUCACAUGCAAAAGAAAGUUGGACCUUGAACUGACAUAUAAAAAUUAAUAUUCAGAAUAGAUCAAAGACCUAAAUAUAAGAGCUAAAACUAAAUAAACUUUUGGAAGAAAAUAUGGUAAGUUUUCAUGGCCUUGAAUCUGACAGUGGAUUCUUAGAUAUGACACCAAAAACACAGUCAACAGCAAUAAAAUAGAUAAAUUGGGCUAUAUCACAAUCUAAAACUUUUAUACAUUAGAAGAUACUAUCAAAAUGAAAAGACAACUUACCGAAUGGGGAAAGAUGGUGCAAAUCAUGUAUCUCAUUAGCAUCUAGUAUCCAGAAUAUAUAAUGGACUGUCAUAACAACAAAAAGACAACGUAAUUAAAAGAUGGGCAGAGGAUUUGAAAAGACAUUUUUCCAAAGGAGGCAUAAUACAAAUGGACAAUAAGCGCAUGAAAAGAUGCUCGACAUCAUUCAUUGUGAAAGAAAUGUCAAAACCACAGAAAGAUAACACUUCACAGUAGGAUGGCUAUCAUAAAAAAAUGGAAAACAAAAUUGUUGGUGAGAAUGUGGGGCAAUUGGAACCCUCAGACAUUACUGCUGGGAAUGUGAAAUGGUGAAGCCACUAUGGAAAACAGUGUGGUUAAACAUAGAAUAACUGUAUGACCCAGCAAUCUACUCUGAGGUACAUAGUCUGAGGUACAUUCUUUGUAUCUAUACAAAGAGUUGAAAACAUGUAUUCAAAUACUUGUGUACAAAUGUACAUAGCACUAUUUGCAAUACAGCCAAAAUGUGGGACCCACCCAAACAUUCGUCAUGUGAUAACUGAAUAAUCCAGAUGUGGUCUGUCCAUACAGUGUCCUGUCACUUCAGUCCUGAAAAGGAAAGCAGCACUGAUGCGUGCUAUACUGUGGAUGCACCUCAAAAACAUGCCAAGUGGAAGAAGCCAGACGCAAAAAGUUGUACAUUUUAUUAUUCCAUUUAUAUGCGCCAUCAAGGAUAGGUAAAUCUGUACAGACAGCAGACUCGUGCUUAUGGAAAGCUGGAAAGAGGGAGGGAUGGGGAUGCCUGCUUAACGGGUAUGGGUUUCCUGUUGGGGGUUACGAAUACGUUUUGGAACAUAGAAAUGAUGGUUUUACAACAUUAUGAAUGUGCUAAACACCACUGAAUUGUACAUUUUAAAAUAUUUAAUUUUAUGUUAUGUGAAUUAUACCUCAAUAAAAAAGAAAAAGUGGUGCUGCACAGCCCGAAAA
rnacentral:lncRNA from 1 species